UGAGUAGCUGGGACUACAAGCGUGUGCCACUAUGGCCAGCUAAUUUUUGUAUUUUUAGUAGAGACAGGGUUUCACCAUGUUGGCCAGGAUGGUCUCCAGCCUUGACCUCGUAAUCCGCCCACGUCAGCCUCCCAAAGUGCUGGGAUCACAGGCGUGAGCCACCACACCCGGCCAUCUCUGAUGUCUUUUAAUUCUCUCUAGUCAUUGUAUAGAACAAGAAAAAUAAGAGAGGGUCAGGAGAGUGCUGGUAUUGUGACUAGUGAUGGGAGUUCAGUGCCAACAUUCAAAUCACACAAGGGAAUGGGUCUUGUAAAUCACGUCUUUACUGAAGACAAUUUGAAAAAAUUAUAUGUUUCAAAUCUUGGAAUUGGACACACAAGGUAUGCCACCACAGGAAAAUGUGAAUUAGAAAAUUGUCAGCCCUUCGUUGUUGAAACACUUCAUGGGAAGAUAGCUGUGGCACAUAAUGGCGAAUUGGUAAAUGCUGCUCGAUUAAGGAAAAAGCUUCUGCGUCAUGGUAUUGGUCUGUCUACAAGUUCUGAUAGUGAAAUGAUUACCCAGUUACUGGCGUAUACCCCUCCUCAGGAACAAGAUGACACCCCAGACUGGGUAGCCAGGAUUAAAAACUUGAUGAAGGAAGCACCCACAGCAUACUCCCUGCUUAUAAUGCACAGAGAUGUUAUUUAUGCAGUACGAGAUCCUUAUGGAAAUCGUCCCUUAUGCAUUGGUCGUCUUAUUCCAGUGUCUGAUAUAAAUGACAAAGAGAAAAAAACAUCAGAAACAGAAGGAUGGGUGGUGUCUUCAGAAUCUUGUAGCUUCUUAUCUAUUGGUGCAAGAUAUUACCGUGAAGUCUUGCCUGGAGAAAUUGUGGAAAUAUCCAGACACAAUGUCCGAACUCUUGAUAUUAUAUCAAGGUCUGAAGGAAACC
rnacentral:sRNA from 1 species